CCUGAGGCAUCUGGAUCCACCUGUGAGAAGCCCCCUUCCCCCUGCAGCGUCAGGAUGCCAGUGGCUUCCCCCGCCUACCGGGUGAGAUGCCCUUGGCCAACCCUGCUGUAGAGUGGCUGCACGUCCCGAAGGGGAAAAACAAACUACGCAAGCUGUUGGCCAGACUACUUAGAAAAGAAGAGAGAAGGCCCAAAUAACAAAAAUCAGAAAUGGAAAGGGAGACAUUGCAACCGAUUCCACAGAAAUACAAAGAAUCAUUAGAGAUUGUUCAGAACAACUAUACACCAACAAAUUUGAAAACCUGGAGGAAAUGGAUAGAUUUCUGAACACCCGUAAACAACUAAGACUGAACCAAGGAGAAAUGCAAAACCCGAAGAGACCAAUAAGAAGCAAUGAGAAUGAUGCAGUCAUCAACAGUACCCCAACACAGAAAAGCCCAGGACCAGAUGGCUUCACUGCUGCAUUCUACCAAAGUUUUAAAGAAGAAUUAACAACCAUCCUUUUCAGACUACUCCAAGAAAUUGAAACAGAGGCCGUUCUCCUAAAUUAAUUCUAUGAGGCCAGCAUCAUCCCGAUCCCCAAAUCAGACAAAGACACAACAACCGAAAAGAAAAUUACAGGUCAGUAACCUUGAUGAACAUAGACAUGAAAAUCUCCAGCAAGACAUUAGCAAACAGAAUACAA